rnacentral:rRNA from 1 species
AGUGAACGCUGGCGGUAGGCCUAACACAUGCAAGUCGAACGGCAGCACAGGAGAGCUUGCUCUCUGGGUGGCGAGUGGCGGACGGGUGAGGAAUACAUCGGAAUCUACUUUUUCGUGGGGGAUAACGUAGGGAAACUUACGCUAAAACCGCAUACGACCUACGGGUGAAAGCAGGGGACCUUCGGGCCUUGCGCGAUUGAAUGAGCCGAUGUCGGAUUAGCUAGUUGGCGGGGUAAAGGCCCACCAAGGCGACGAUCCGUAGCUGGUCUGAGGGGAGGAUCAGCCACACUGGAACUGAGAGACGGUCCAGACUCCUACGGGAGGCAGCAGUGGGGAAUAUUGGACAAUGGGCGCAAGCCUGAUCCAGCCAUACCGCGUGGGUGAAGAAGGCCUUCGGGUUGUGAAGCCCUUUUGUUGGGAAAGAAAUCCAGCUGGCUAAUACCCGGUUGGGAUGACGGUACCCAAAGAAUAAGCACCGGCUAACUUCGUGCCAGCAGCCGCCGCCG